GACGAACGCUGGCGGCGUGCUUAACACAUGCAAGUCGAACGGAAAGGCCCUGCUUUUGUGGGGUUCUCGAGUGGCGAACGGGUGAGUAACACGUGAGUAACCUGCCCUUGACUUUGGGAUAACUUCAGGAAACUGGGGCUAAUACCGGAUAGGAGCUCCUGCUGCAUGGUGGGGGUUGGAAAGUUUCGGCGGUUGGGGAUGGACUCGCGGCUUAUCAGCUUGUUGGUGGGGUAGUGGCUUACCAAGGCUUUGACGGGUAGCCGGCCUGAGAGGGUGACCGGCCACAUUGGGACUGAGAUACGGCCCAGACUCCUACGGGAGGCAGCAGUGGGGAAUAUUGCACAAUGGGCGGAAGCCUGAUGCAGAAACGCCGCGUGCGGGAUGACGGCCUUCGGGUUGUAAACCGCUUUAGCCUGUGACGAAGCGUGAGUGACGGUAAUGGGUAAAGAAGCACCGGCUAACUACGUG
rnacentral:rRNA from 1 species